rnacentral:sRNA from 2 species
GUUUGCACUUGUCGGGGAAGGGUGAGAACCUUCGAUUAAGGUUCGACUCGAGCGAAAGCGAGAGAACGUUGCCAACGGCAACGGCCCGUAGGGUGAGGAGCGAAGCGACGAAUAAUCCUUCGCCCACCACCA